GGUGGGGCUCAGUGGGAGAGCACUCGCCUACAUGCAUGAGGCCCUGGGUUCCAACCCCAGCACCACCA
rnacentral:tRNA from 1 species